UUUCCGUAGGUGAACCUGCGGAAGGAUCAUUACAGAAAGUAAACGCGGGUCGAACCGCGAACUUCUAAACCUUUGACGAUUGACUCAUGUUGCCUCGGCGGGCUCGCCCGCCAGAGGAUACAUCAAAACUCCUGUUUUAAUGGUGUUGUCUGAGCUACAAGCAACGAAUCAAAACUUUCAACAACGGAUCUCUUGGUUCUG
rnacentral:misc_RNA from 1 species